rnacentral:rRNA from 1 species
UUGAAUUAAGAGUAUAAGGGUGAGCUUUUUAUUCAAUAAUUGUAAAAAAAUGAACAAAAUAUUUUGUGAUCUGAAAAUUAGGUUUUUUAGUGGCCAUAUUUUUAAAGUGUUUUAACUAGGAAUGAUAUAGAUAUUUUUUUUUGAAUUUGUUCUUUUAAAGUAGUAGUAUAUUUUCUUUAGUAAGGAAAGAUUAGUAAUACUGGGGGUAUUAGUAGAGAUAAAAAAUAAUAUGAAAUUAUAGAUAUUAAAAUUAUUAGAAAAUUUUAAUUAAAUAAAAGAAAAAAUAAAGGAACUCGGCAAAUUUUUUUCUUGCCUGUUUAACAAAAACAU